rnacentral:rRNA from 1 species
UAAUACGUAGGUGGCGAGCGUUGUCCGGAAUUAUUGGGCGUAAAGAGCAUGUAGGCGGCUUAAUAAGUCGAGCGUGAAAAUGCGGGGCUCAACCCCGUAUGGCGCUGGAAACUGUUAGGCUUGAGUGCAGGAGAGGAAAGGGGAAUUCCCAGUGUAGCGGUGAAAUGCGUAGAUAUUGGGAGGAACACCAGUGGCGAAGGCGCCUUUCUGGACUGUGUCUGACGCUGAGAUGCGAAAGCCAGGGUAGCGAACGGGAUUAGAUACCCCGGUAGUCCUGGCCGUAAACGAUGGGUACUAGGUGUAGGAGGUAUCGACCCCUUCUGUGCCGGAGUUAACGCAAUAAGUACCCCGCCUGGGGAGUACGGCCGCAAGGUUG